rnacentral:rRNA from 1 species
GCGAGUCGAAUGUCCGUAAGGACAUGGCGAACUGCUCAGUAACACGUGGACAACCUGCCCUUUGGACAGGGAUACCCCUGGGAAACUGGGACUAAUCCCUGAUAAGUCUCCGUAGCUGGAAUGCUCGGAGACGGAAAGCUCCGGCGCCACAGGAUGGGUCUGCGGCCUAUCAGGGUAGUAGUGGGUGUAGAGUACCUACUAGCCUACGACGGGUACGGGUUGUGAGAGCAAGAGCCCGGAGAUGGAUUCUGAGACACGAAUCCAGGCCCUACGGGGUGCAGCAGGCGCGAAAACUUUACAAUGCGGGACACCGCGAUAAGGGGACCUCGAGUGCUGGCAUACAAUGCUGGCUGUCCAGCUGCCUAAAUAGCAGUUGAUAGCAAGGGCCGGGCAAGACCGGUGCCAGCCGCCGCGGUAACACCGGCGGCUCGAGUGGUAACCGCUAUUAUUGGGUCUAAAGGGUCUGUAGCCUGCAGGUUAAGUCUCUUGGUAAAUCCGGCAGCUUAACUGUCGGGGUUCAGGGGAUACUGGUCUGCUCGGGACCGGGAGAGGUGAGAGGUACCUCAGGGGUAGGGGUGAAAUCUUGUAAUCCUUGAGGGACCACCAGUGGCGAAGGCGUCUCACCAGAACGGGUCCGACGGCAAGGGACGAAAGCUAGGGGCACGAACCGGAUUAGAUACCCGGGUAGUCCUAGCCGUAAACGAUACUCGCUAGGUGUCGGCCACGGUGCGACCGUGGUCGGUGCCGUAGGGAAGCCGUGAAGCGAGCCACCUGGGAAGUACGGCCGCAAGGCUGAAACUUAAAGGAAUUGGCGGGGGAGCACUACAACGGGUGGAGCCUGCGG